rnacentral:Y_RNA from 1 species
GGCUGGUCCGAUGGUAGCGGGUUAGGGUUAUCAGAACUUACUAACAUUAGUGUCACUAAAGUUGGUAUACAACCCCCAUUGCUAAAUAUGGCUGGCUUUAA